rnacentral:rRNA from 1 species
CCCUUAGAUGUUCUGGGCUGCACGCGCGCUACACUGAUGCAUCCAACAAGUUUUUUCCUUGUUCGAGAGGACUAGGUAAUCUUAUGAGAAUGCAUCGUGAUGGGGAUAGAUUAUUGCAAUUAUUAAUCUUCAACGAGGAAUUCCUAGUAAGCGCGAGUCAUCAGCUCGUGCUGAUUACGUCCCUGCCCUUUGUAUACACCGCCCGUCGCUGCAACUGAUUGGGUGACCUGGUGAACAUCUUGGACCGGCCCACUCAAUUUCGAGAGGACUGGAAAAGGCCGUAAAUCAGGUACAUCUAGAAAUUGCAAAAGUCGUAACA